rnacentral:lncRNA from 1 species
GACACGAAGGCUGGUGGUAUUAUCCCACAAUGGAGAGAUGAAGGUCCGGAGGUGGGGACACGAAGCCAGCCGGUAUUAUCCCACAAUGGCUAGAGAGGCAAAGAUCUUUGGGCCGUGUGUGUGAUCGGUUCUGACGGGGACGUCAGAAAUUUAAGUGGGGGAGUUUGUAACACCCCAGUCCCACAUCGAAAGAUAGGGGGAAAAAUUUGUCUGCAUAUAAGGAAAUAAAGUUACUACCAAUAGUACCUUCAAGUCAUGACCUUUUGGGAGC